GCUUACGGCCACACCUCCUGAGCACGCCCGAUCUCGUCUGAUCUCGGAAGCUAAGGCAGGGUCGGGCCCCGGUUAGUACUUGGAUGGGAGACCGCCUGGGAAUACCAGGUGCUGUCAGCC
rnacentral:rRNA from 1 species